CUUCAGCAUAUGUAAUUUUAAGAGCAUCAUGCUUUUGGAUAGACUAUACACAAGUCUACAUUAAGCAUUUUGUUAAAUUUGUAAUUUUUAUGCUAUUUCCUCUACUAUUUUUCUCAGGGAAGUUUCCAUGCACCAUAUAUCUACCCAUAUAUCUGUAGCAUAUUAACAUAUCUGUAAACCAUGGAUGGUGAUGUUCACUUGCACAGGAAAAGUAGCGGAAAGUAUCUUUAUGGAUAUGGGCCCGAAGAACAUGAGGAAGUUUCUAUGCACCAUAUAUCUACCCAUAUAUCUGUAGCAUAUUAACAGAUCUGUAAACCAUGGAUGGUGAUGUUUACUUGCACAGGAAAAGUAGCGGAAAGUAUCUUUAUGGAUGUGGGCUCGAAGAACAUGAGUUCCCAGUGUUGAAAUAGACAUUUGUAGCAGCAAGAAAGUAACAGACUCCUACUAACAUAAUUGAUAAAAUCUGAUAGAAUUACGAGGAAAUGAUGAUCUCAAACUACGCGAAAGUGUAUGUCCUUCAACACAAAUUGUAGAGAAUUAUGGGUUGAUGGUAUACAUACAUUCAACUUAAUUUUGACAUUUUGUGUCUUUCUUAAGUUUGCUGCUUUAAUGAAAGCUUCUAAAAGAUAUAACUAUG